CAAAGGUAGCAUAAUCGUUAGUUUUUUAAUUGGAAUCUUGUAUGAAUGGUUUGACAAAAGAAAAUCUGUCUUUAUAAUUAUUUAUUGAAUUUAACUUUUAAGUGAAAAGGCUUAAAUAAGUUAAAAAGACGAUAAGACCCUAUAAAGCUUAAUAUUAAUUUUUAUUUAAUAAAAUUUUAAAUAAUAUAAAUAUUUAGUAGAAAAUUUUUUAUUUUAUUGGGGCGAUAAUAAUAAAAUGAUUAUUAACUGUUAAUAAAAUUUAAACAAAAAUAAAUGAAUAAAAGUAUAAAUUAAAUGAUCCUUUUUGAAGAUUAGAAGUUUAAGUUACUUUAGGGAUAACAGCGUUAUUUUUUUUGAGAGUUCUUAUCGAGAAAAAAGUUUGCGACCUCGAUGUUGAAUUAAAAUAUCUAUAUAAUUGUAGCAGUUAUAUAAGAAGGUCUGUUCGACCUUUAAAUU
rnacentral:rRNA from 1 species